rnacentral:rRNA from 1 species
UCCUGGCUCAGAUUGAACGCUGGCGGCAGGCCUAACACAUGCAAGUCGAGCGGCAGCACGGGAAGCUUGCUUCCUGGUGGCGAGCGGCGGACGGGUGAGUAAUGCAUAGGAAUCUGCCCGAUAGUGGGGGAUAACCUGGGGAAACCCAGGCUAAUACCGCAUACGUCCUACGGGAGAAAGCAGGGGCUCUUCGGACCUUGCGCUAUCGGAUGAGCCUAUGUCGGAUUAGCUGGUUGGUGAGGUAAUGGCUCACCAAGGCGACGAUCCGUAGCUGGUCUGAGAGGAUGAUCAGCCACAUCGGGACUGAGACACGGCCCGAACUCCUACGGGAGGCAGCAGUGGGGAAUAUUGGACAAUGGGCGCAAGCCUGAUCCAGCCAUGCCGCGUGUGUGAAGAAGGCCCUCGGGUUGUAAAGCACUUUCAGUGGGGAAGAAAGCCUUGGGGCUAAUACCCUCGAGGAAGGACAUCACCCACAGAAGAAGCACCGGCUAACUCCGUGCCAGCAGCCGCGGUAAUACGGAGGGUGCGAGCGUUAAUCGGAAUUACUGGGCGUAAAGCGCGCGUAGGUGGCUUGAUAAGCCGGUUGUGAAAGCCCCGGGCUCAACCUGGGAACGGCAUCCGGAACUGUCAGGCUAGAGUGCAGGAGAGGAAGGUAGAAUUCCCGGUGUAGCGGUGAAAUGCGUAGAGAUCGGGAGGAAUACCAGUGGCGAAGGCGGCCUUCUGGACUGACACUGACACUGAGGUGCGAAAGCGUGGGUAGCAAACAGGAUUAGAUACCCUGGUAGUCCACGCCGUAAACGAUGUCGACUAGCCGUUGGGAGCCUCGAGUUCUUAGUGGCGCAGUUAACGCGAUAAGUCGACCGCCUGGGGAGUACGGCCGCAAGGUUAAAACUCAAAUGAAUUGACGGGGGCCCGCACAAGCGGUGGAGCAUGUGGUUUAAUUCGAUGCAACGCGAAGAACCUUACCUACCCUUGACAUCGUGCGAACUUGGUAGAGAUACCUUGGUGCCUUCGGGAACGCACAGACAGGUGCUGCAUGGCUGUCGUCAGCUCGUGUUGUGAAAUGUUGGGUUAAGUCCCGUAACGAGCGCAACCCUUGUCCCUAUUUGCCAGCGAUUCGGUCGGGAACUCUAGGGAGACUGCCGGUGACAAACCGGAGGAAGGUGGGGACGACGUCAAGUCAUCAUGGCCCUUACGGGUAGGGCUACACACGUGCUACAAUGGUCGGUACAAAGGGUUGCAAAGCGGCGACGUGGAGCUAAUCCCAUAAAGCUGAUCUCAGUCCGGAUCGGAGUCUGCAACUCGACUCCGUGAAGUCGGAAUCGCUAGUAAUCGUGAAUCAGAAUGUCACGGUGAAUACGUUCCCGGGCCUUGUACACACCGCCCGUCACACCAUGGGAGUGGACUGCA